rnacentral:rRNA from 1 species
ACGGAGGGUGCAAGCGUUAUCCGGAUUUAUUGGGUUUAAAGGGUGCGUAGGCGGUAAAUUAAGUCAGUGGUGAAAAUCUGCAGCUCAACUGUAGACGUGCCAUUGAAACUGCUUUACUUGAGUAACCAGGAGGUAGGCGGAAUGUGUAGUGUAGCGGUGAAAUGCUUAGAUAUUACACAGAACACCGAUUGCGAAGGCAGCUUACUAUCGGUUCACUGACGCUGAUGCACGAAAGCGUGGGGAUCAAACAG